CAGCAGCCGCGGUAAUACGGAGGGUGCGAGCGUUAAUCGGAAUUACUGGGCGUAAAGAGCGCGCAGGCGGUUAUUCAAGUCGAAUGUGAAAGCCCCCGGCUUAACUGGGGAGGGUCAUUCGAUACUGCUUAACUUGAAGGCAGGAGAGGGAAGUGGAAUUCCCGGUGUAGUGGUGAAAUGCGUAGAUAUCGGGAGGAACACCAGUGGCGAAGGCGACUUCUUGGCCUGUUCUUGACGCUGAGGCGCGAAAGCUGGGGGAGCAAACGGGAUUAGAUACCCCGGUAGUCCCAGCCGUAAACGAUGGACACUAGGUGUUGGUGGUAUCAACCCCGCCAGUGCCGUAGCUAACGCAUUAAGUGUCCCGCCUGGGGAGUACGGCCGCAAGGCUAAAACUCAAAGGAAUUGACGG
rnacentral:rRNA from 1 species